UCGAAUAAACUUGAUAGAUUGUUGCUGGGCUCUAUGGAGCAUGGUGCACGUCUGUCAUUUUUAUCUUUCCACCUGUGAACUCUGCAUAGACCCGAAUAUUUAUUUGAAUUGAAGCUUGCUUUGAUUUCUGGAAAUUGCUAUCAUUAUUAUAGCUUUUUCUGUAUUCGGGUUCUAUGAUUCUUACAAUAUACUCCAUGUAUGUUAACGAACGUUAUAAUGGGCCUGUAAAGCCUAUAAUCUAUAAUA
rnacentral:misc_RNA from 1 species